UAUCUGUUCCCGCGCCCGGCGCGCCGCACUCCUGACGCUAUCCUCAUGGGGCGCGCUAACCUUACACGAUAGUACCUACAUUAACAAAAAAAGAAAGUAUUCUUUCUGUAUAAUUGGAUGUAUGUACAAAACCAAGUGAUUGGGACCAAGUGAUAGUGAGGAACUGACGGUAACAUAGACUUUCACCAUGGAGGACGCUCACUCGAAAUCCGUGGAAGAAGUCUUAUCAUAUUUUGGAACAGACCCAGACAAAGGCCUUAGCCCAGAUCAAAUUAAAAGGAACCAGGAGAAAUAUGGCCCAAAUGAACUGCCCACAGAGGAAGGCAAAAGUAUAUGGCAGUUAGUCCUGGAACAAUUCGAUGAUCUUUUAGUCAAGAUUUUGUUGUUAGCCGCUAUUAUUUCUUUCGUAUUAGCUUUAUUUGAAGACCACGAAGAUGCUUUCUCAGCGUUCGUGGAGCCAUUCGUUAUUUUACUUAUUCUUAUUGCGAACGCUGUAGUAGGAGUAUGGCAGGAAAGAAAUGCCGAAUCCGCCAUCGAAGCUUUAAAAGAAUACGAGCCCGAGAUGGGUAAAGUAGUCAGAGGCGACAAAUCCGGCGUACAGAAGAUACGUGCCAAGGAGAUCGUCCCCGGCGACAUCGUCGAGGUCUCCGUCGGCGACAAGAUCCCCGCCGACAUCCGCCUAGUCAAGAUCUACUCCACCACCAUCCGUAUCGACCAGUCUAUCCUGACCGGUGAAUCCGUCUCGGUUAUCAAGCACACUGACGCCAUUCCCGACCCUCGCGCCGUCAACCAGGACAAGAAGAACAUCCUCUUCUCCGGCACCAACGUCGCCGCCGGCAAGGCCCGCGGUAUCGUCAUUGGCACCGGCCUCAACACUGCUAUUGGUAAAAUCAGAACUGAAAUGUCCGAGACUGAGGAGAUCAAGACCCCCCUGCAGCAAAAACUCGACGAGUUCGGUGAACAGCUGUCCAAGGUUAUCUCCGUCAUCUGCGUCGCCGUCUGGGCCAUCAACAUCGGACACUUCAACGACCCCGCCCACGGAGGCAGCUGGAUCAAGGGCGCCGUCUACUACUUCAAGAUCGCCGUCGCUCUCGCCGUCGCCGCCAUCCCCGAGGGUCUGCCCGCCGUCAUCACCACCUGUCUCGCUCUGGGCACCAGGCGUAUGGCCAAGAAGAACGCCAUCGUCAGGUCUCUGCCCUCCGUCGAGACCCUGGGUUGCACCUCCGUUAUCUGCUCUGACAAGACCGGUACUCUGACCACCAACCAGAUGUCCGUCUCCCGCAUGUUCAUCUUCGAGAAGGUCGAGGGUGGCGACAGCAGCUUCCUGGAAUUCGAAAUCACCGGCUCCACGUACGAACCCAUCGGCGACGUUUACCUGAAGGGCCAGAAGGUCAAGGCUUCCGAGUUUGACGCUCUCCACGAGAUGGGCACCAUCUGCGUCAUGUGCAACGACUCCGCCAUCGACUUCAACGAGUUCAAGCAGGCCUUCGAGAAGGUCGGCGAGGCCACCGAGACCGCCCUGAUCGUGCUCGCCGAGAAGAUGAACCCCUUCAACGUGCCCAAGACCGGCCUCGACCGCCGCUCGUCCGCCAUCGUCGUCCGCCAGGAGAUCGAGACCAAGUGGAAGAAGGAGUUCACUCUUGAGUUCUCCCGUGACAGGAAGUCUAUGUCCUCCUACUGCGUCCCCCUGAAGCCCUCUCGCCUCGGAACCGGCCCCAAGCUCUUCGUUAAGGGCGCCCCGGAGGGCGUGCUGGAACGCUGCACGCACGCUCGCGUCGGAACCGCUAAGGUGCCUCUCAACUCCACCCUGAAGAACCGCAUCCUGGACCUCACCCGCCAGUACGGCACCGGCCGCGACACCCUCCGCUGCCUGGCGCUCGCCACCUCGGACAACCCGAUGAAGCCCGACGAGAUGGACCUCGGCGACUCCACCAAGUUCUACACCUAUGAAGUCAACCUCACCUUCGUCGGCGUCGUGGGCAUGUUGGACCCUCCCCGUAAGGAGGUGUUCGACUCCAUCGUCCGCUGCCGCGCCGCCGGCAUCCGCGUCAUCGUCAUCACCGGCGACAACAAGGCUACCGCUGAGGCUAUCUGCAGACGUAUCGGCGUGUUCACCGAGGACGAGGACACGACCGGCAAGUCGUACUCGGGCCGCGAGUUCGACGACCUGCCCGUGUCGGAGCAGCGCGCCGCCUGCGCCCGCGCCCGCCUCUUCUCCCGAGUGGAGCCCGCACACAAGUCCAAGAUUGUCGAGUUCCUCCAGAGCAUGAACGAGAUCUCCGCUAUGACUGGUGACGGUGUGAACGACGCCCCCGCCCUGAAGAAGGCCGAGAUAGGUAUCGCCAUGGGCUCCGGCACCGCCGUCGCCAAGUCUGCCGCCGAGAUGGUGCUCGCCGACGACAACUUCUCAUCCAUCGUCGCCGCCGUUGAGGAAGGCCGUGCCAUCUACAACAACAUGAAGCAGUUCAUCCGCUACCUGAUCUCAUCCAACAUCGGUGAAGUGGUGUCCAUCUUCCUGACGGCCGCGCUGGGCCUGCCCGAGGCUCUGAUCCCCGUGCAGCUGCUGUGGGUCAACCUGGUCACGGACGGCCUGCCCGCCACCGCCCUAGGCUUCAACCCCCCCGACCUGGACAUCAUGGACAAACCCCCCCGCAAGGCUGAUGAGGGUCUCAUCUCUGGCUGGCUGUUCUUCAGGUACAUGGCUAUCGGUGGCUACGUCGGUGCCGCGACCGUGGGCGCCGCGUCCUGGUGGUUCAUGUACUCGCCGUACGGCCCGCAGAUGACCUACUGGCAGCUCACACACCACCUGCAGUGCCUCGGCGGCGGUGACGACUGGAAGGGCGUCGACUGCAAGAUCUUCACCGACCCUCACCCUAUGACCAUGGCGCUGUCCGUGCUGGUGACCAUCGAGAUGCUGAACGCCAUGAACUCGCUCUCGGAGAACCAGUCGCUGGUGACCAUGCCGCCCUGGUCCAACCUGUGGCUGGUCGGCUCCAUGGCGCUCUCCUUCACACUACACUUCGUCAUCCUCUACGUCGAGGUGCUCUCGGCCGUGUUCCAGGUGACGCCACUGUCCAUCGACGAGUGGCUGACGGUGAUGAAGUUCUCGAUACCCGUGGUGCUGCUGGACGAGGUGCUCAAGUUCGUCGCGCGCAAGAUCUCCGACGGUGAGCACAACUGGCUCGACGGCAUGCACUGGAUUGUGCUCAUGUGGGCCGUCUUCUUCGGCCUGAUCAUCUACGGCCCUCUAUAGGCCGCGUGUGCCCCCCGUGAACCGUGCACGAGUAACCUCCCGACCGACUGAAAACGCGCGCCACCCAAUAAUACCGCUGAUUUUUUAUCCUAUCCCCCCCUUUUGGGCCCCGGCUGACACUAGUCAAUCUCCGGCCAGCUUGUGCUGGGACGCAUAUUUCGAACUGUUUCUUAUCUUAAAACUUUACAGCCACGAAUUGAUUUGUGGUUUUAGAUUAGUACUUAGUUAUUUGUUAUUUUGAACAGUUUUGUAUUAUAAAAGUGGGUGGCGCGCGGAUUCCUACUGUGGAACCCUCGGACUCUGAGCUCGGCUCACCACAGUACCUAACAUUUUGAUUGAAUGCUAAUCCCAGCACCGAGUGGAGUGACCAGUGCACGGUGUCGGAGACGGACGAGGCGGACAUUGUAGUGUCGGUACCCGUGUAGUAUACACGUGCAGUGUGUACACGUGCAGUGUGUACACGUGCAGUGUGUACACGUGCAGCCUGCCGACGGGCGCCCGAGCUAAGCGUUAGCGUUAUGUGCGAGACAAUAACUAGUUUGGAGCUCAUAUACACGAGGAACCAUUUUACUUUCCUCCCCGAGUGAAGUGGCUGUGAACACCUUCAUUGUAAUUAACAACACCAAAUAUUGGUUUACUGAUUAAAAAUUUGAGUUAGUAUUUUAGCAUUUUAAUGUAUGAUUAUGAUCUUUGUGCUGUGUAAGGAAGCUCCUUUUUGAAAAUAUCUCAACUCGCACGCGGCUCAGUACCUUGUCCCUGUGGACUGCAGACAUAAUUAUAUUCAACUUUACUAUAAUAUAGUAAUGUUCAUUGUUAGCCUAGUGUAAAUUAAUGUAAGUGUAGGGUUAGGGUCGUGGUAACACUACGUGCUCAGGGGAAGUAUGUUCGUGCAAGGAACUCUCUCUGUCCUGUCACCUUUGUGCUCGCUUGUUAACAUUUAUUAAUGCAUUUCUUUAUUCUUACUUCAGAUUGUAUUCCAAAACGCAUUUUGCCGCUGAUUUUGUAACCAUUAUGAUAACAUGAAUGUUUUGAUGUGUAUGUUUAACCAACCACUGACAUUUAUUUCAAAUGAUAAUUUGUGAUAACUUUGUUUUCUUUUUUGAAAUACAAAAUGACACGAGAGUAAUAUUUAACUUAAUGCCACGUUGUGAAUACUUAGCUUUCUUCACCCUUAAUGUGUUUCGAAUUUCAAGUUUCAUAAAUAUGAUAGUUAUUACAAAUUAAUAUUGGAUGAGACUAAAGCAAUAUAGUUGAUGUAUGUACGAACGUUUGAUGCUAAGGUUCUAUUUGGUACUUUAUACUUUACAUUUAUACAAUGAAUUAAUUUAAGUUUUUUUUAAUAACUAAUUCGAUUUCUAGCGAGACAUAAUACUAUUUUAAGUUUAUCCCAGAAAAUCAAAAUUUGUUAUGGUACAAGGUCCGUACGUACAUAAGUAUACAUUAUAUACUAGUGUAUUUAAUCCCGCAUGUGUACAUUGCAUGGUAUCUAUACGAAUUAAACGAGUGCAGUUUGGUGUGAUGUUAACAAUGUUAUUUAUUACUGUUAUUGAAAUAUUUCAACACUAUUUAUGAGGUAAGAGACCGACAACCAAUAUUGAAUCUAAUGAACAUUCUGUCUGUACACUGCACAAUGACCUAAGGCAUGCCCCGUGUGCCCCAACCUCCUCCAACUUUACAGUUACACAAAUUAAUUACUUAUUUAAAAUGUACAGUCGUUUAUACAUAUUUUACAUUGAUUAAAAAUUGUCGAGAAUUAAA